UUAAGCGUGUAGGCUGGUUUUCCAGGCAAAUCCGGAAAAUCAAGGCUGAGGCGUGAUGACGAGGCACUACGGUGCUGAAGCAACAAAUGCCCUGCUUCCAGGAAAAGCCUCUAAGCAUCAGGUAACAUCAAAUCGUACCCCAAACCGACACAGGUGGUCAGGUAGAGAAUACCAAGGCGCUUGAGAGAACUCGGGUGAAGGAACUAGGCAAAAUGGUGCCGUAACUUCGGGAGAAGGCACGCUGAUAUGUAGGUGAAGUCCCUCGCGGAUGGAGCUGAAAUCAGUCGAAGAUACCAGCUGGCUGCAACUGUUUAUUAAAAACACAGCACUGUGCAAACACGAAAGUGGACGUAUACGGUGUGACGCCUGCCCGGUGCCGGAAGGUUAAUUGAUGGGGUCAGCGCAAGCGAAGCUCUUGAUCGAAGCCCCGGUAAACGGCGGCCGUAACUAUAACGGUCCUAAGGUAGCGAAAUUCCUUGUCGGGUAAGUUCCGACCUGCACGAAUGGCGUAAUGAUGGCCAGGCUGUCUCCACCCGAGACUCAGUGAAAUUGAACUCGCUGUGAAGAUGCAGUGUACCCGCGGCAAGACGGAAAGACCCCGUGAACCUUUACUAUAGCUUGACACUGAACAUUGAGCCUUGAUGUGUAGGAUAGGUGGGAGGCUUAGAAGUGUGGACGCCAGUCUGCAUGGAGCCGACCUUGAAAUACCACCCUUUAAUGUUUGAUGUUCUAACGUUGACCCGUAAUCCGGGUUGCGGACAGUGUCUGGUGGGUAGUUUGACUGGGGCGGUCUCCUCCUAAAGAGUAACGGAGGAGCACGAAGGUUGGCUAAUCCUGGUCGGACAUCAGGAGGUUAGUGCAAUGGCAUAAGCCAGCUUGACUGCGAGCGUGACGGCGCGAGCAGGUGCGAAAGCAGGUCAUAGUGAUCCGGUGGUUCUGAAUGGAAGGGCCAUCGCUCAACGGAUAAAAGGUACUCCGGGGAUAACAGGCUGAUACCGCCCAAGAGUUCAUAUCGACGGCGGUGUUUGGCACCUCGAUGUCGGCUCAUCACAUCCUGGGGCUGAAGUAGGUCCCAAGGGUAUGGCUGUUCGCCAUUUAAAGUGGUACGCGAGCUGGGUUUAGAACGUCGUGAGACAGUUCGGUCCCUAUCUGCCGUGGGCGCUGGAGAACUGAGGGGGGCUGCUCCUAGUACGAGAGGACCGGAGUGGACGCAUCACUGGUGUUCGGGUUGUCAUGCCAAUGGCACUGCCCGGUAGCUAAAUGCGGAAGAGAUAAGUGCUGAAAGCAUCUAAGCACGAAACUUGCC
rnacentral:rRNA from 1 species